rnacentral:rRNA from 1 species
UACGGGGGGGGCAAGCGUUGUUCGGAAUUACUGGGCGUAAAGGGCUCGUAGGUGGCCAACUAAGUCAGACGUGAAAUCCCUCAGCUUAACUGGGGAACUGCGUCUGAAACUGGUUGGCUUGAGUGCAGGAGAGGAAUGCGGAAUUCCAGGUGUAGCGGUGAAAUGCGUAGAUAUCUGGAGGAACACCGGUGGCGAAGGCGGCAUUCUGGACUGUAACUGACACUGAGGAACGAAAGCCAGGGGAGCAAACGGG